AGUGAACGCUGGCGGCGUGCUUAACACAUGCAAGUCGAACGAGAACGGAAUAUAGCUUGCUAUAUUUGUCAGCUAAGUGGCGCACGGGUGAGUAAUAUAUAGAUAACCUGCCCUUAAGAAAGGAAUAACAGUUGGAAACGACUGCUAAUGCCCUAUAUGCCUUUAAUACAUAAGUAUGCAAGGGAAACGCUUUAGUGCUUAAGGAUGGGUCUGUAUGGUAUCAGCUUGUUGGUGAGGUAAUGGCUCACCAAGGCUAUGACGCCUAACUGGUUUGAGAGGAUGAUCAGUCACACUGGAACUGAGACACGGUCCAGACUCCUACGGGAGGCAGCAGUGGGGAAUAUUGCACAAUGGACGAAAGUCUGAUGCAGCAACGCCGCGUGGAGGAUGACGCAUUUCGGUGCGUAAGCUCCUUUUAUAUAGGAAGAUAAUGACGGUACUAUAUGAAUAAGCACCGGCUAACUCCGUGCCAGCCGCCGCAGUAAAAC
rnacentral:rRNA from 1 species